rnacentral:rRNA from 1 species
CCUACGGGUGGCAGCAGUGAGGAAUAUUGGUCAAUGGACGAGAGUCUGAACCAGCCAAGUAGCGUGAAGGAUGACUGCCCUAUGGGUUGUAAACUUCUUUUAUAAAGGAAUAAAACGAGGCACGUGUGCCUUUUUGCAUGUACUUUAUGAAUAAGGAUCGGCUAACUCCGUGCCAGCAGCCGCGGUAAUACGGAGGAUCCGAGCGUUAUCCGGAGUUAUUGGGUUUAAAGGGAGCGUAGAUGGGUUGUUAAGUCAGUUGUGAAAGUUUGCGGCUCAACCGUAAAAUUGCAAUUGAUACUGGCAGUCGUGAGUACAGUUGAGGUAGGCGGAAUGCGUGGUGUAGCGGUGAAAUGCUUAGAUAUCACGAAGAACCCCGAUUGCGAAGGCAGCUUACUAAACUGUGACUGACAUUGAUGCUCGAAAGUGUGGGUAUCAAACAGGAUGAGAUACCCCAGUAGUC